UACGAAGGGACCUAGCGUAGUUCGGAAUUACUGGGCUUAAAGAGUUCGUAGGUGGUUGAAAAAGUUAGUGGUGAAAUCCCGGAGCUUAACUCUGGAACUGCCAUUAAAACUUUUCAGCUAGAGUAUGAUAGAGGAAAGCAGAAUUUCUAGUGUAGAGGUGAAAUUCGUAGAUAUUAGAAAGAAUACCAAUUGCGAAGGCAGCUUUCUGGAUCAUUACUGACACUGAGGAACGAAAGCAUGGGUAGCGAAGAGGAUUAGAUACCCUCGUAGUCCAUGCCGUAAACGAUGUGUGUUAGACGUUGGAAAUUUAUUUUCAGUGUCGCAGCGAAAGCGAUAAACACACCGCCUGGGGAGUACGACCGCAAGGUUAAAACUCAAAUGAAUUGACGGGGACCCGCACAAGUAGUGGAGCAUGUGGUUUAAUUCGAAGAUACGCGCAGAACCUUACCAACACUUGACAUGUUCGUCGCGACUCUAAGAGAUUAGAGUUUUCGGUUCGGCCGGACGAAACACAGGUGCUGCAUGGCUGUCGUCAGCUCGUGUCGUGAGAUGUUGGGUUAAGUCCCGCAACGAGCGCAACCCUCACUUUUAGUUGCCAUCAUUAAGUUGGGCACUCUGAAAGAACUGCCAGUGAUAAGCUGGAGGAAGGUGGGGAUGACGUCAAGUCCUCAUGGCCCUUACGUGUUGGGCUACACACGUGCUACAAUGGUAUCUACAACAGGAAGCAAGACUGCGAGGUCAAGCAAAUCCUUAAAAGAUACCUCAGUUCGGAUUGCACUCUGCAACUCGAGUGCAUGAAGCUGGAAUUACUAGUAAUCGUGGAUCAGCGUGCCACGGUGAAUGCGUUCCCGGGUCU
rnacentral:rRNA from 1 species